GGAAGUAAGAGAUUGAAUGGGUGAGAGGGAUUCAAUGGGAAUAGAGAACAGAGGUUCUCAUUGCUGAGAUGGCAGGGGUCAUAGGGCAAAGACCAGAGAAGCCACUAGGAGCUAAGAACAGGCCCGACCAGCAGUCAGAAAGGAAACAGGGAUCUCAGGCCUGCGGCUGCAAGGAACUGAACACUGCCAACCACCUGAGGUCUGCGGCAGCUGUCAAGCAUCUCAGUAACUCUGGCUGGAGGAUGAGGCCUGACUUUACAUAAGCCCCUGUCACGGACUUGCUGGAGUGUUACCUCUUUGAAGCCUCACUCCCGCCCGUUAGGAAGCUGCUGCAGUCCUGACUCCUGCGUCACAGUCCUCUGCAGGACCGAGGCUGUGUGGACGGAGGCUGUGUGGAUGGAGAUCCCACCAUCACCGAGUUCGGGCAAGUCCCAUGAGGGUCUCAGCUCCUCAUCCGUAACAUCAGGAUGAUAAAGCCUCCCUCGCAGGAUGGCCGUGCGAGUGCCCAGAUCCCAGGAGAGGGCUGGUAAAUGGGCGUUGCCUGCCCCAUCCCUUUCUACCUGCACGGAAAAGGAGAGAUGGCCCAGCCUCAGGUCAUCAGGACCCUUGAGCCAACCCUGCAUCUCAGCCCUGACUCCCACCCAGAAUGCCGGCCUUCCUCACCAAGGGUCUGGCUGACACCUCUGCGAUGCUCAUCACUAGUCACUUGGGAUUCCCUGGUGAUAUGGUUUGGCUGUGUCCCCACCCAACUCUCAUCUUGAAUUGUAGUUCCCAUAAUCCCCACAUGUCAUGGGAGGGACGGGGUGGAGAUAAUUCAAUCAUGGAGCGGUUUCCUCUGUCCUGUUCUCAUGAUAGUGAGCUAGUUCUCACGAGAUCUGAUUGUUUUAUAAAGGGCUUCUUUCUUCGCUGGGCACUCAUUCUCUCUCCUGCCAUCAUGUGAAGAGGGUCUUUGCUUCCCCUUUACUUUCCAUCAUGAUUGUAAGUUUCCUGAGGUCUCCCCAGCCAUGCGGAACUGUGAGUCAAUUAAACCUCUUUCCUUUAUAAAUUACCCAGUCUUGGGUAUUCCUUCAUAGAAGCAUGAGAAUAGACUAGUACACCUGGGGAGCAAGGCCUAGGGUGAAAAGUGAAGCUCAGAGCAGUUACCCUCCAGCUGGAGGCACCCCCCACCACUACAGGUGCCAAAUGGGUAACAGCUGCCUGUCUGGAGCAGGUGAAUCGUUUUGCUCCCUGCGAGCUCAGGCUGUAGAAUGGCUGAGCCAGGGACUGUGUCCACGAGGCACCCUCCUUCCCAACUGCCAAUCACAGUUAGUGCUGGAGGAGACUGGUCUGACCUCAGCUCUGCCCACAUGGCCCGGAGCUGUUGCAUCCAGCAGGACAUGUAGGGUCCGACCCAGCCACAGCGCAUCCCUGGCGAAGGAGGCUGGGCUGCUGCACUCUAGACUGGUGUGGGAGAGGCCUUUCCCCCCAGCCAAAGGGCACCAGAGAGCUCCAGCUCAUGGAAAACCUGUUCCCAGCAGCUAACUUGGGCCUGUGGGCCACUCAGGGUUUAAUUUUGUCCCUGAGUUCCCAAGGGUGAUUCAGACAGGAUGAGAUUGAGCCCUGGAGGGGCCAAGUGACUUGGCUAGACAAUAGAGCCAGUGGCCUCCAGGAAAGUGCAGCUUAAGGCCUGAAGACAGCAGGUGGGGAGGAAGAGGUAUGAUUAGUGGGUAUCUCCUACGGAGUCCUGGGAUCUCAUUUAAUCCCCCUAACAACCGUGGGAGAGAGUCAUCACUCCCCCAGUUUCAGAAGAGGAAGCUGAAUCCAGAGAGUUGCAGGGCUAUAGCUGGGGGCCCACAGCAUUCAAGGAAUGGACUGGGAUCAUCUGACUCCAGUGCCUGGACUAGAAACUAGAUGGGGCGGUGCUAACUUGGAUUGCACAUGGGUGGCAUCUUCAACAAGGAAGACACCAUCUGCACCGGGCUUACCAAGCGCACUCCCAAGCGGGAAGCCCAGGACCAAGUAGGCACUCCCACCAGGGGCAAGGUAUUCAUGAGAGACAGUCCUGGGCUUCACAGGCCAGGGCUUCUGCUGUGGAGAGGUCCUUACUAAGGGCUGGAAUGGGCAGGCACAGUGGCUAAAUCAGACAGCUUACCAGUCAAGGGAUAGUGGCUAAAUCAGGCAGCUUACCAGUCAAGGGAUAGUGGCUAAAUCAGACAGCUUACCAGUCAAGGGAUAGUGGCUAAAUCAGGCAGCUUACCAGUCAAGGAUGGCUGGAGAUUUGUAUGAGGGGUUGGGGUUUACAGCAGGGGCUUGCAAGGAAGGCUGAGGUCAUAGCUCUGCCCAUUCUUUUUGUCCCACUCUUCUCUCUUAGCUACUCUUGCCUGAAGGAAACCCCCAGCCAGCUGCAAACAGCCCAGUGUCCCGCAAUGGACUUUGCUCCUCAGAACUGCUAACUUGGGUGACACGCUUAUGAGAUCCCACUGGUGCCCCCACUACAUGCAUGUGGGUGUUGGAGAGAACAGGGCCAGGGUUAGGCCUAGUGGGGCCUGGGCACAGCAGGAGACACAGGAGGGGAGGCCUCCAUUGCCACCCUGAGCCAACUGCGGGCAGCCCUUCACCGGUCCCUAGGGGACAUUGCUGGAUAAUGGAUCCUCACCUUAGUGGGUGUCCCCCUACAGGUAGAGUGCCAUAGGCUGGAAGGCUGCCCUGCCCCUUCUCUCCCAUCCGAGGCAUGUGGCUUCUGCCCUUGCUCUGCUCUCGAUAAAUGGGGAACACUGUCUUCUCUCCCUGGGACCUGGCUUGGCCCUCUGAGCUGGCAGGUAAGCUGGGAGCUGGUUCCUGAUUGCUCCAGAGCAAAGGCCCAUUUUGAAGAAGGAAGAGAGGACGUCUCACUCUUUCCCUGGAUCCUCUCCUCCCCUUCCAUGGAUGCUCCUUCCUCCCUCCCAGGACUUGGGGCCUUUGUCUGGCCUCCCCCAUGCCCUGCAGUCUGCCCUCUGCCCAUCCCCCUUCAGAACACCGCCCAGGGUGAGGAUCAGACUCUUGUCUGUCCAUCUUCAGCUUGGUUACUUGAAACCAAAAUAAACUGACAGCAAGAGGCAGCCAGGGCUGGGAGCCAGGACGCCAGGAUCGCAGGGGUGCUUAUUUUAGCGGAUGAUGUUCCAUUGCUGGGCUGGAGUCCGCCCAGGACUUGGCGUUGACUCACAGCUCAGCUCCCGGGGGCUCUUGGCUGGCUCUUCCUCCUCCACUCUCCUUCCCUCCUUCUGGAAGAGGUGUCACUGUCACAGAAACAUGUGCUGGUCUUGGUUCCCCCUAGACCCGACUAGGUAUAGGGCCCUGCAAAUGGCCUCUCCAAUACAUACAUGCACCCCUUUAUUCCUGGGCAUUCAGGCUGACAUAAACAGAGAGGGAUGUCUGGAAGGGAGAGACCUAAAGUGUGUGUGUGUCUUUGUAGCCACCGGCCAGGCUCGGGUUGGCAGGCAGAACCAAGGCCCUUCCCAAUUCUGCCUCAGGGACUGUGGGCUUGAGUGUGGGCACACAUGUCCAACAGUUAUGGAAUGGGCAUCUCUUAUGUGCCAGGCACUGCUAUAGACACCGACACACAGCAGUGAACAGAAGGACAAAGUAUUCUAGAUGGAAGAAACAGGCAAUGCACAUAUGGGAGAUAAAUAUAGAAUAGGUCAGCAGGGAGGAUAAUGCCAGGUGAGGGGGUAGAGUAAGGGAGGGCAGGUUCUAGUUAGGCUUGGGAGAGUGAAACCCACCUUGGUUCCAGGUGUGAGUCCUGGGGCUUUCCUGUGGUGGCCACAUUCUUCUUCCCACUCCCUUGCAGGUUGAUCAGUUGCAUAGUUUCUGCCUCUGCAUUUUUAUUCCCCUUCUAUUCCCUUUGUUUCCCCACAAAAACCCUCCCUGGAGGGCUGUUCCCAGGGUAGCUGGUGGGCCUUGUGCAAAGUUAGGGACCCCGGAAAGGCUCCAGAGAUCACUGAGGCCAGGGCUGCUCAAAUGCUCACCGUAAUUUGUCAUCAGGGGUGUGCAGAUUAAAACUGCAACAAGAUGCCACGGAUGCCCAUCAAAAUAGAUAAUAUGAAAAAAGAUGGAGGCUGGGUGCGGUGGCUCGCGUCUGUAAUCCCAGCACUUUGGGAGGCUGAAGCGGGCAGAUCACCUGAGGUCAGGAGUUCGAUACCAGCCUGGCCAACAUGGUGAAACCCCAUCUCUACUAAAAAUACAAAAAAAAUAGCUGGGCGUGGUGGUGGGCACCUGUAAUCCUAGCUACUUGGGAGGCCGAGGCAAGAGAAUCGCUUGAAUCCAGAAGGUGGAGGUUGCAGUGAGUCGAGAUCUCACCACUGCGCUUCAGCCUGGGCAACAGAGCAGGACUCCAUCUCAAAAAAAAAAAGAAAAAAGAUGGAAUCUACCAAUUGUUGGUAAGGAUAUAGAGUGACUGGAACUCUUAUGCCUGGUUGAUGGGAGUGCAAACUGACACAACUUUGGAAAGCCAUGUGACAGUUUCACUCAAGUUGAAAGAAGACCUAAACUCUGACCCAGUGAUCCCCAUCCUAGGUGUAUACCCAAGAGAAAGGAGUAUGAAUAUUUACCAAAAGACAUGUACUAGAAUGUUCAUAGCUACACUCUUCAUCAUCGCCCAAAACUGGGAACCACCCAGAUGUCCAUCAACAGUAGAAUGAAUAAAUUGUGAUAUAUUCAUAGCAUGGAAUACUACACAGCAAUUAAAAUAACAAUCUACAACUCCAUGAAACAAUAUGGGCAGGUCUCGCAAUGUGUUGUUAAAUGAAACGAGACGCAAUGAUUUCAUUCACAUGAAGUUCAAAGGAACCUGUCCUGCUAGCAGUCAGGAGAGUGGUCACCCCUGGCAGGAGGUGGUGGGUGGUGGGAGCUCUUGAGGUGCUUGUAAUAUUCAGAUGUUGGGUGUGUCCAGUCUGUGAAAAUGUACUGGGCUGUACAUAUGUGAAAGUUGCACUUUUUUGUGGGUAUACUGAACUUUAAUAAAAAGUUUUUAAAAAUCAGUCCUGUUUGGGCCUCGACACAGAUUAUUUAAAUCAGAAUCUCUGGGGUGGGGCAGGCAUAGGUAAGUGUAAUAUGAUUCUAAUGAGCAGCUAGGGCCAGAUCCCAGCACAGUUCUCUUUCCUCUGGGUCACACUGCCUGCCCUCCACAGGCUCGAGUCAGAUGCUUGAACGCUGUCCCUGCCUUUGUCAGGAGAGUGUCUGUGCUUUAGGACAUCAGCGUCUGAUCCCAUGGGGCAUGGUUCCCACUGGCAUGGCUUUCAAUGUGUGAAUUAUUCUGCCCCCAAAUUGCCAGGUGAUCUCAGAGAAGGCACAGAACCUCUUGGGGCCUGAACUAGUAAAUGAGGGCUCUGAACACCAGGAUAGCCAAGAGUCCCUCCAGUUAGAGGGACCACAAUUCCCCUGUAAGACAGAAUCUCAGCCAAAAGGAGCUUCUGGUCUGAUAAACCCAAGAACUGGGAAAUGACUUGGGACUACAUUCUUUUGUAAAGAGUGAGGUAAAAAAAAAUUUAGUUUGAAUCUGUUUUUCUUCUUUUAAAUGGAAACAAAGACAAGUGGAAAGUCAGAAAAAAGUUCACGGGUAGCACACGAGAGCUGAGGAGCAUGCAGCUGAGACCGCAGUGAAUAUUUGGUGAGUGUCUGGGUUGAUUAUUACUACAUAUCAAACUACCUCAAUCCCCAGUGGCACGAAACAAUCCUUUUAUCAUAGCUUGUGGUUUAUGGGUCAGGAAGUUGUGGGUGGUUUGUCUCUGCUCCACGUGGCAUUAGCUGUGGCAGCUGCAGGUGAAGGAUCCACCUCCGAGAGGGUGUCUUCACCCCUCUGCCUGGUGCUAGAUGCUCUGGGGGCCCUGGGUGUUGCUUGCUUGGACUUCCUCACAACAUGGCAGCUACAAAGCAUCUCAUGACCUAGCCUUGGAAGUCUCAGGACAUCAUUUCCACUGCAUUCUAUUGUUAAGUCCAUCACUAGGCCACCCCAUAUUCAAGGGGAGGGAAGGAAUAGACACAUCUUGGAUGGAGUUUGGGGUGUGUAUGUGUGUGUGUGUGUGUGCAUGUGUGCAUGCCCAUGAGGCAGAGGGCAACCUAGGAGGGGCCUGGCCUGGCCACAGCCCACCUUCCAGGUCAGAUUGGGAAGGGGCAGGUGGUGGGCAGGAAGUAGAGGAACCUGUGUUUUGCCUCCAGCAAGGAGCCCAGGAAAGCAGCCCGGCCUCGGGGAGCCGUCCCACAGAGACGUCUCUCGGGGAACAUCCUACUGGGUAGCAGAGUCUCCAAAAAGUAAAAAGAAUCUGACAGCCCCUUCUCUGCCCUUCUCCUACACUCCCUCCAUAGCACAUGGGUCUGGAAGGGGCUGAACUUGAGCUAACUUUGAGGGCCACCCAGCCACAGUGGCCUGGGAAGACUGACCCAGCUGGGGUGAUGAGCAAUUUGGCAGGUACCAGGGAAGCUGGGGGACUGCCUGGGGACCACUGGUGUCCUUCCCAUCUUUAGCACCAGUCAGACCUCCAGAACCUUGACUCAACCCCGUGGCACCUUGUAUACUGAGAUGUAUUUCCUUGUGGAAUAUUCGAAGUGCGUGUAAAGGCAUCCUGAGGUUUCCUGAGUUUGAAUCAGUGAGAAAUCAUGCUGUGGCCAUCAUAAAUCCACAUCCUCCAAGGGGAAUGGGCCACUGAAACAAAAAUGAUUCUCCCCUUAGAGGAACAGACCAAGUCAUGUUU